GAUUAAGAUUGAGUGUUGAAAAUAACAAUACAUACUUGAUAAGAUUCUGCGAGAAUUUGGAAAUAGCAAGAGAGAGGAGUUGCCAUGCUUCAUGGCAAGAUAAGAAUUCUCUAGAAUUAGAUAUUUUGCAUAGUUGGAUAAGGAUGAGGAAAAUUAUAGAGUUAGAUAUUUUGUAAAUAAGAAUGCAGAAGUUGCCACGUGACAACACUACAAUACCAUAAGUACCUAUAAAUCGAGGUGCUCUCCUUCCCUCUUGCGCGUACCAUGGCAUAAGAUAUCUUAAGUAGGAGGUGGCAUGG
rnacentral:lncRNA from 1 species